AUAUAAUACCAAAGAGGUGAACUGAACAGAUUUUUCCUUACAUAAUAUAACUGAGAUUCCUUUGGCCAUCGCAGCUAAAACUUGAUGAUGAGACAAUUCACCAGUAAAGUAAAGAUCUGCAUCCGUAUUCAUAACCACAGAUCCACCAGAACCUGCACAUAAAGAAACCUUGGAAAUAUGAGAAUCUAAUCCGUUAGGUGCACACACUUGGACUACAAUCAAAUAGGUUAACAAUAUUAACAAUAAAGAUAAAAAGAAGCUCACCAUAUUGCAAGCCGGUUAACUCCUUAGCCCUUUGGACCAAUUCACGCAAGGUUGUAGGAAUCUUCAGUUCGCAAAUUCGACCGUAACCUUCUGCCUCAGCCAUGACAGAAUUUUGCUGAGUUGGGACCACGCUUUUAAUGUUGUUUCGUCCUCCAGCUAUACCUUGGGCCAGCCAGUCAUUUACUCCAUCAACAGCAGCAUCAACGGCUGUAUGAGGCGAGUAAACGUGAAUUCCUUCAGCAGCAAGUUUUAAAAGGCUUCUUUGUUGGGGAUCCUCCAUCGUGAUGGCUUUAAGCCCACGAAAGAUAAUGGGGUCUAGUUGUGAGUAAGUUGUGUAAACAAUAAAAGUAGAAGGUUAACCGCCAUACGAUAUGCUACAAUAGAUGAUACAAGUUUAUUUGAAAUAGCUUCUUCAGCAACUUUCUCAGUCAAGUCAAUCGUCAAAAGUACGGAACUUGCAUUUGUUCUUGGGAAAGGAGCCUCAAGCAGAAGCCCAGUGUUGUCCCAAGAAUCCGCCAAUUUUGGAUUAUAGAUGGACUCAACUACUUUUUUUAAUUUGGAAGAAAUAUUUGCCUUAGACAUAUUUGGGGAAAGAUACCAUUAAACGCAGUGAUUCCUGAACGACCGUAAGACCACGUUUACGACAACACUUAGUCCUAGGAUAUGCUUUCUCAAAUCUGCUAAAUUCUGUAGAGCAUGAAGGAAUUCUAGCAACGCGUAGCAAUACACAAUUUUAACUAUGCAGUCCUGCGUAUCGGUAAAAAAAUAUUGAACUGCAUAGCGAGCAUUAAAAAACGAUUAGGUAGUACUUUAUU